GCCAAAUAGAGUUUUGAGGGGUGUGGUGUGAAUCACCACCCCUUCAUCUUUCAGUUUCUUGAUGGUAGCACAAACUCUGCAAUUACUCCAGGAAUGCAAUAUUGCUUUUCAUUUACUAUUUUACUAGGUAGAGGCAGUUCAAAUGGAUUCCAUAUAGCCUUUAGCACUAUAAUAGCCCUCACUCUGCAUAUUAGGGAACCAAAGAGGGAAUUCUAUCAGCUGUUAAGUAUUUCUAUUUCAAUUAUGCAUUCUAGAUCUGGGAAAUAACCACAGGGUGGGCUCAGGAAAACUCUGGACCGACUGCAAGACAGAGCUCAGGUAAAAACCCAUUAAUCCUUCGACCCCCAUAAGCCCCUCCUCUGACUGGAAGGCCAUUGUGAUGUUUUGGGUCUCUUGGAAACAAUGUUUGUUCAGAACCAAUGUCCAAGUAGUCCCUGAAAGUUCUAAUUAUAUCUUUUCACCCAACGCAGUUACUCUGGUAAAGGCCAUAUGUCCCUUUUGGAAAGUCUGGGAGAAAUUUUAACAGUAGUAUAAUGGUGUCCUUCCUCAAGGAGACCUGGUCUCCCCUGAAUUUAAGGGGUUCUAGGUCUGUAAACUGUCGCAAGUCAGAGAAUUGAUUGUUGUGCUUUGCUGUGAGGAACAUAAACACGUACCUGAUUUAUCUUAACAUGGAGAGAUUCAUCAGUCACAUGAAACAACUAAUCCUAGGAGAGACAGGAAAAGACUGAUACAGUAGCUCAGCAGCGUUAUCAAGGACUUACCCUUUUCAGGAUUCCAUUGCUUCCAGUCUCAAUGUCUAGUUCUUCACCCUGGGUCUUGUUGAGUCACAUUGCAAUAAAGCAGUGGACGGCGAACAGUGGAAACUAGAAACUAUGCGGCCUCUGUCCUGAAGCCUAGGGGCCCUUAGCUGUCGCAUCAGGUUCCAGCAGAGCACCUAGCUUACUACCGUGGCCAACAGGAACAGCGCCACGUUCUGCUCGCUGAAUCGCUGAGCAGCGUGCCGCCGCUAGUCACGUGAACGGCAGAGAGGACGGUGGCCCGCAAGGGACGAACCUUAUGCUUCUGCAUGGCGUCGCGGGGUGUGGCCAGGUGCGGCCUUCCUCUGCCUCCUGGCCUCUGUCUUUUUAGCUUCUGUGGGAUGCUUCCGUUUGGGGAAUUUUCAUCAGUGGUUUGCUCCAGGGAGUCGGAGACCACCCAUAGUGCUCAACUACUCCGCUACAGAUUCCCUCUGGGGAGGUGGAGGUUGGGGGUGGGGGGGAUUCUUGUGUUUUGAUUUUAGAAUUUCAGAAUAUAGAGAAAUUAGCUUUUACUCAAAGUGGUUAUAGAACUAUUGUCUUGUAGAAGUAGUUUAUAAGCUUAUUCAUAAUAUUGUUCUUAUUUUUCUUUUAUUUCAUUGCUCUGAAU
rnacentral:lncRNA from 1 species